AUGUUGUCUAGGUGGGUCUGGGUCUGGGCUAAUGUUGUCUAGGUGGGUCUGGGCUAAUGUUGUCUAGCUGGGUCUGGGCUAAUGCUGUUGUUUAGCUGGGUCUGGGCUAAUGCUGUUGUCUAGCUGGGUCUGGGCUAAUGCUGUUGUCUAGGUGGGUCUGGGUCUGGGCUAAUGUUGUUGUUUAGGUGGGUCUGGGUCUGGGCUAAUGUUGUUGUCUAGCUGGGUCUGGGCUAAUGUUGUUGUUUAGGUGGGUCUGGGCUAAUGUUGUUGUUGUUUAGGUGGGUCUGGGCUAAUGCUGUUGUCUAGGUGGGUCUGGGCUAAUGCUGUUGUCUAGGUGGGUCUGGGCUAAUGUUGUUGUUUAGGUGGGUCUGGGUCUGGGCUAAUGCUGUUGUCUAGCUGGGUCUGGGCUAAUGUUGUUGUUUAGGUGGGUCUGGGCUAAUGUUGUUGUUUAGGUGGGUCUGGGAUGAUGUUGUUUAGGUGGGUCUGGGUUAAUGUUGUUGUUGUUGUUGUUGUUUAGGUGGGUCUGGGCUAAUGUUGUUGUCUAGGUUUGGGUCUGGGUUAAUGUUGUUGUUGUUUAGGUGGGUCUGGGAUGAUGUUGUUUAGGUGGGUCUGGGCUAUUGGGUUGUUGUUGUUUAG
ensembl:lncRNA